AGGCUUCAUCCGAGUGGCCACGGCACUCAGCGAGUCCUCCUCCAUCCACAGUGAGACCCUGUUCCACCUGACUAGGGACAUGUCUGGGAUGAGGCUGGACCCCAUGUCCUACAGCAUCAUGGAACCUGAACCUUAUAGAGAAGGUAGAGAAGAACCCUGGGCUGAGGAAUCACAAAGUCUGCUACAGCGCAACAGCAUGCAGAUCUCCGCGAGUGAAGACAAGAUCCCAGUUGUAGGUUCAACUUCAACCCCUCAGUGCAACACAGAAGGCCUUUACUUCUCUGAUGGCCGACGGAAAGUUGACUACGUUCUGGUCUUCCAUCAGCGGCGGCACAGCUCCAUAAGAUGUCCUGUCGGCACCUCAGUGUCACAAGACCGAUUAUCCAUUGUUUCCAAUGGCAACUUUCCCCAAUCGGUGAGCUCGGAUGCGGUAGCAGGAAGAGGAGGAGGCAUGCCGGGAGAGGAGGCUGCGAAUGCCGGUGAGGUCUUCAUGGAGCUGGGUUUUGCAGGAGGGAGUGAGCCAACGGAGCCGGCUGACCAUGAGAUGCGUCUGAUCAGACAAGAGUUUGAGGCCAACUUGCUGGAGGCCGGCCUGGAGAUAGAGCGAGACAAAGAGGUAAAGGCCCACGGCCCCAGCUUUACUCGUCUCCAUGCGCCCUGGCCAGUCCUCUGUCGAGAGGCUGAGUUUCUCAAGAUUAAAGUCCCCACUAAAACGAGUUAUGAACUUAAAGAGGAAAGUGGUUUUGGGUCCAGUAUGAGCACAAUUUGGAGGAAACUGAAUCAACCUUUUCAGCCCAAAGUACCUCAUCAGGACCAUGAACGCACCAAAUUUCUCUCACACUGCUUCUCCAGGGACAAACUCCACCUGUACAACAUUACAUCUAAAGACACUUUCUUUGACAAUGCUACAAGGGGCAGAAUAGUGUAUGAGAUUCUGAGACGAACAGUGUGUGUACGAACCUGUCAAACCAUAGGCAUCAGCACAUUAAUAGCUAAAGGCGUGUAUGAUGCUGCCUUCCCUCUUCACGAUGGUGACUAUAGGGUCAUCGGGCACCUUGAGGAGAGGAAUGACAGACAGGUUCUGCAUGAAGAGUGGGCCAGAUACUCAGCCUUUUACAAGUACCAGCCCAUUGAUCUUGUCAGGAAGUACUUUGGGGAGAAGAUUGGCCUGUACUUUGCGUGGCUUGGUGUUUAUACUCAGCUGCUCAUACCAGCCUCCAUCGUUGGGAUCAUUGUGUUUGGCUAUGGGGUGGCAACAGUGGAUACUGACAUACCCAGCCUGGAGAUGUGUGACGAGCGUCUCAAUUUCACCAUGUGUCCUCUGUGUGAUGGAGCCUGUGACUUCUGGCAGCUCAGCACUGCCUGUGGCACUGCCAGAGCUUCACACCUCUUCGACAACCCCGCCACCGUCUUCUUCGCCAUCUUCAUGUCUCUGUGGGCGGUGCUGUUCCUAGAACACUGGAAGCGUCGUCAGAUCAGUUUGAGCUUCAGCUGGGAUCUGACAGGCAUCGAGGAGGAUGAGGAACAUCCCAGGCCACGGUAUGAGACCAUCCUUCUUCAGAAGAGACAGAGGAAGCAGAAAAAAAAGAAAAAUAAGAAAAAGAAUGAGCCAGAGAAGCAGGAGGACGGGACAGUGACAGGGAAGGACAGAUGGAGACAAAAACUACUGUCUGCCAUGACUGCAGGAAUACCGACUGCCAUUGACAAGCUGACCUGGAAAGACCGUCUUCCUGGAUACUUCAUCAAUGUUUCCUCUAUCCUCUUUAUGUUUGGGCUGACGUUCUCAGCAGUGUUUGGGGUCAUUGUCUACCGCAUCACAGUGUCAGCCCUGAUGGCGAUGAGUCCCGACCCGGAGACCAAGUCCAAUGUUAGGGUGACGGUGACGGCCACUGCAGUCAUCAUUAACUUAGUGGUUAUUCUGAUUCUUGAUGAAAUCUACGGAGCUGUGGCAGUGUGGCUGACUGAGCUAGAGAUUCCCAAAACAGAAACUAACUUUGAGGAGCGUCUUAUCCUGAAAGCCUUCUUACUUAAGUUCAUGAAUGCAUACGCGCCCAUCUUUUAUGUGGCUUUCUUCAAGGGACGGUUUGCAGGCCGACCGGGAAAUUACGUGUACGUCUUUAAUGAUUAUCGGAUGGAAGAGUGUGCUCCAGGAGGCUGCCUCAUCGAGCUGUGCAUCCAGCUCAGCAUCAUCAUGCUGGGGAAGCAGCUAAUCCAGAACAACAUCUUUGAAAUCGGCAUCCCGAAGUUGAAGAAGCUGGUGCGUGCGUUGAAGGAUAAAGGAUCAGCAGAAACAGAGAAGGAGGAGGAGAGGCCUCCACAGCAGUGGAACCUGGACCAUGCUCUGGCUGCUUUCGAAGGCCUCACACCCGAAUACAUGGAGAUGAUCAUCCAGUUUGGUUUUGUCUCUCUGUUUGUGGCUUCGUUCCCACUCGCUCCUCUCUUCGCCCUGCUCAACAACGUUAUUGAAAUCAGACUGGACGCAAAGAAGUUUGUUACAGAGCUACGUAGGCCUGUAGCCAUACGAGCUAAAGACAUUGGUAUAUGGUACAACAUACUGAGUGGAAUGGGAAAGUUCUCAGUCAUUAUAAAUGCCUUUGUGAUUUCCUUCACAUCAGACUUCAUCCCUCGACUUGUCUACCAGUACACGUAUAGUCAGACCGGCACCAUGCACGGCUUCAUUGACUACACACUCUCCUACUUCAACGUGUCCAAUUUUAAACCCGGAACGGCACCGCAGAACUCUGGUGACAUCACUGUCUGCCGAUAUAAAGACUACAGGGAGCCCCCGUGGUCUCCAGACGCGUACCAGUUCUCCAAACAGUACUGGUGUGUCCUGGCUGCAAGACUGGCUUUCGUCAUACUGUUCCAGAACCUAGUGAUGUUCCUCAGCCUCGUGGUCGCCUGGGUGAUCCCCGAUGUCCCCAAAACCAUCAUGGAGCAGCUCAAACGGGAGAAGAAGCUGCUGGUCGACGUCUUCUUAAGGGAGGAGAAGGAAAAGUUUCAGCUCAUCCAGAGCCUCUUCGCCAAGGACACCACCCUCCAGCCAGGCAGCCACACGCUUCAGCCGGGACAGGGCCCCCCCAUACCGGGCCGCUACAGUACUUUACCCCCAGGACCCACACAGGCUGGAGAUGGAGGAGGAGGGCCGAGGGCGAGGUGUAGGGCCGCCAGCUUCAGCCAGUUCACCAGGAAGAAUCCAUCUACAUUGCCUAGGAAUGAAAAUGAGAAUUCGAGACACACAGCGGUGUGACAUAACAUACAUCUGUAGGGGUGCCUCAGCUGGGCCUCAGGACUGUGUUGCUCGGGUGAUUCUUAUGUCUUUGCCUGUGUCUCUUGUGUUCUGGUGUGUGUGACACAGUAGUGCUGUGAUUAGAAACCAUCACAGCCUGAUUUUGAACGUGACAUUUGAUUCAUUGGUCUCAGUGUGGUUGAAUGUGCAAUGUCCACACUGGUUGAAUGAAUGUGUAUGUUGUUCCUAUUUGCGCCGACUGUUCACCUGAUAAAGUGUUAUCAUUUUUACUUUUUGGUAAAAAUAAAUUUAGCGAGGCACAUUAGCUUCUUAGCGUAGACAAGCAAUAAUUACAGUAUUAGGCUGAACAAACGAAUAUUACAAGAACCUGGAAGAGACUGGAGAUAAAGACAGAACUAUGAACUAAUGGAGAGAUUCAGUAAUAAACAGUAAAUCACCAUAAACAGAUUGAUGGACAUUGCGGCUCACUGCUAGUGCUGGGGACUGUCAGAAGUUUCCUACUUUAUGUGCUUAUGCUCCUUCUGUAUUUUUGUUUUUAACAGAAUUUGUAGCAGCUCCAACAUUCCACAUUUUCUGUGCUUUUCAAUGCAUGGUACUGAAAGCACACAAGCCUCAUAGAAGAACAAUUCAUUCUUUUUUUUGACACAAUUUACUGUGCUCAUUUUCCUCCAUAGAAUUCAGGAAUAACUUUUCAAACACAUCUGUAUUGUCGCUCAAUACAUAGCUGCUGCUCAUUGUUCCUCUACACGCUACUCUACGUAUUGAUUGAUGGAUGCACAUGCCAACGUGACACAAGCUAUAGAUAGAUAAAUUGUGAAGCAUUGUUCUUGUUAGCCAUACAUCUGUCUGUACAAUGACCUAAUGACUACACUUAAUAACUUCAGAAUGCAAAGAGAAAGGCAACUCUUUUGCAAACUGUGAAUGCAAGUGAGUUAGAAAUCAUCUCAGUUUUCAUUGUCAAGGGAACAAAUACUUUAUCAGCGUUCCAUCAUUAUGAAAUACCACACUGAAUACUCUCACAUUCCUGCAGGUAAGUAAUAAAUCUGAAUAGGAGAGCUUGCCUAAAAGAAAUUCAUGGAGUCGUGCAACUUCUGGCAGCCAUAUCAGAGGUUUGUUAAGAAGCACAGACUGUAAACAGAUAUUAUUUUGUAUAACUGGGCCAUCUGUUUCUGACUGAACCAGUCAUUUCAACACUGAUACAUCUGAUAGAUUUGUGUUUAUAUAAAUUCACUUGUUAGCUAGCUAACAUACUAUCUGGUCCAACUAUUGCUGUAUACUGUAGUUGUUAACAACUUAUUAGCAUUCUAAUUCAGCUGUUGCAUGUUAAAGUCAAACUAAAAUUUUAAUUCUCCUCACUUACUAAAAAAAGGAGACAUGCUGUCAACUUUGUCAACAAUGGUUGUGUCCAAAAUCAGUCUUUAUUUUCUAUAUAGUGCACUACAUUUACCAUCCACUAUUUUAUUUGAGAGUCCAGAUUUUGAAUGUCCAAAUGUAUCCACUAACUUAUGCCCUCAAAGAUUCCACAAUGAACAAAAAAGUAGUGUACAUAACAUGUAGACUACUCUCUGCAAACAUGCUGCCUUCAAAUGGGGUUGUGUUUACUGUGUUCACAAGAGGAGUCUAUAUACUCAACCCCCUUUUGUGGUAUUUGUAGCCUUGGAUCUUGGAUCUCGUUUUUCAUUGGAUAAGUUCAUGUAGCUCAAUUUUAGUCCUAUAGAGGUUUUCAUCAUAAUUUUAGGCUCUGUGGCUUCUAGAUAUUACCACAUUACUAUUAACUAAUGUCCGGCAUUGUUGCUAUUGCCUAGUCUUCUCACAACUUAACCACUUGAGUGCCAAGCAUACUGUGUAACCAGCUCCCCAUGUCAUAACCACAAGCUCACAAGUUUCAUUUGAAGGCAGGAAUAGUCCCACAUUGAGCAUAAUGCUCUGCAUUUUAUAGAUGUGAAAUUGUUGGUGCACGACAGAACAGAUGACAGUGAUUCUGUAAAAGGAUUCUGAUAAGUAAGGAGUGAAUUAGGGAGUGAUUUUGGACACAGCUAAGACAUUUUCCCCACUUUCUCAACAAGCCAAUAUGGCAAUGGUUAAAUACUAUUAGUGAUUUCAGACACCUGUCCCCUUACGACAUUCAGCAUUUGGAUGGACUCAUUGUGAUGUUAACCUUGCUUGCUAAUCUUAGCUCUGUUUCCCACUUGACGUUAGCUUUUGUUCAUAUACAGAAAGACGGAGGUCUGGCUAACGUUAGCUGUUUCUCUUCCAUGGGUCCAGUUGUGGCUGCACAUUGUCAAAAGUUAAUAAAACUUGAAUUUCUUCUGUCAUUUGAGCAAAUACAAAAGAAAAUGAAUUCUAAUUUCAGUUUAACAAGGGAUUUGUCAGUAGACCUGAUUAUUGUGUGGAGGAGCCAGUUCUGCUGCCAAGGUAUCCUGUUGGCCAACUGAGGGGUCUCUCUAUCUUUGGCACAAGAUAAGGAGCGGUCAAGGAAAACUGUCUGGGACAAGAAUUUUUUUGACAACCAGUAGAUCAGGUCCCCGUUGUGCCGCCAAGGAACAUGGCCACAGGAUCUCUGGGACACUGGCAGUGGAUCCUUUGGGUCCUGUCGGCUGCAGGAUGGGGCCUACAAGGAUCUGGCUUUUUCCGACACGUCCAACAGAUGCAGAGUCACACUACCAUUGCCUCAAGACAGCGGAGGAGGAAUGCUUACAGCGUGUGUGCGUGUGUGUGAGGACAAAAUGAAGGUUUACUGGUUCAGCUGCUGCAGCCUGGACAGAGACACCAGCUCUCAUCUUACAAACCAAACUGGUGUGACCACUUUGUCCACAAACGCAGCGACGUCAUCCACGAUUGCAGAGACAUGGUCCAUGAUCGGAGAGACACUGUUGAGGAUGAGAGAGACAUUGUCCAUGACUCGUAGAGACCUGCGCGAGAAUCUGCGGUCCCCAAUUCAGCGGCAUCGGCCGCAAUCAGAGAGACAUCGUCCACCAUUGUUGAGUGUCUUCAUACAAUGAAGAAGUUCUUUGAGACCAGGACAGAGGCCUCCAGGUGUCACCACGUUGUCCGCAACAUUGUCCAUGAUCUCAGAGACACGGUCCAUGAUCGGAGAGACAUUGUUGAGGAUGAGGGAGACAUCGUCCACGAUCAAAGACAUUGUCCACAAUCGCAGAGACCUUGUCAAAGAUGAGAGAGACGUUGUCCAUGAUCAGAGACAUUGCCCAUGCUUCGUAGAGACCUUGCGAUAGAAUCGGCGGAGACGGGGGUCACCGAUUUGAAGGCAUUGCCCGCGAUCAUGGAGACAUUGUCGAUGAUCACUGAGACAGCGUCUAUGAUCUCAGAGACAUCGUCCACGAUCACAAAGACAUAGUCCAUGAUCGCAGAGACAUUGUCCAUAAUCUCAGAGACAUUGUCCGCGAUCACAGAGACGUAGUCCACGAUCACAGAGACUCUUCGUACAAUGAAGAAGUUCUUUGAGACCAGGACAGAGGCCUCCAGGUGUCACCACGUUGUCCGCAACAUUGUCCAUGAUCUCAGAGACACGGUCCAUGAUCGGAGAGACAUUGUUGAGGAUGAGGGAGACAUCGUCCACGAUCAAAGACAUUGUCCACAAUCGCAGAGACCUUGUCAAAGAUGAGAGAGACGUUGUCCAUGAUCAGAGACAUUGCCCAUGCUUCGUAGAGACCUUGCGAUAGAAUCGGCGGAGACGGGGGUCACCGAUUUGAAGGCAUUGCCCGCGAUCAUGGAGACAUUGUCGAUGAUCACUGAGACAGCGUCUAUGAUCUCAGAGACAUCGUCCACGAUCACAAAGACAUAGUCCAUGAUCGCAGAGACAUUGUCCAUAAUCUCAGAGACACUGUCCGCGAUCACAGAGACGUAGUCCACGAUCACAGAGACUCUUCGUACAAUGAAGAAGUUCUUUGAGACCAGGACAGAGGCCUCCAGCUCCUUUCACAAAAACAACAGGAUCCACCAAUAGCGAAG